UACAGAGGGUGCGAGCGUUGUUCGGAAUCAUUGGGCGUAAAGAGCGUGUAGGCGGCCCCUUAAGUCCUGCGUGAAAUCCUGCGGCUCAACCGCAGACGGUCGUGGGAAACUGGAGGGCUAGAGUGCGGGAGAGGAGAGUGGAAUUCCCGGUGUAGCGGUGAAAUGCGCAGAUAUCGGGAAGAACACCCGUGGCGAAGGCGGCUCUCUGGAACGCAACUGACGCUGAGACGCGAAAGCGUGGGGAGCAAACAGG
rnacentral:rRNA from 1 species